CGUGAGCACGCAACAUGGUACCCUCCCCCAGCCAGUUCUCAGGUCAGCUGCCGCCACUGACCACUCCGCCACCACGCAUGAAGUCCUCCCAGCUAACCACCACGACCAUGCUUCCUCGACCAGCUGUUGUUAACCCUUCCGCCACCACGGCCGACGGCCCACCGGCCAGCCACCGCCGCUAGCACUUCCGCGCCUCGACAGAUGACACCUGCCGUCUCUAGGCCUUCCACCGCUGCACAGAUGUGCAUUAACUCUAUCCCGCCGUUCAUCUUCUCACUGCCGAGUUUAUUGCUCCCACAAUCCCUUCGAUCUCCAUGACGGAUACUCUCCCAGCCACAAAUGCACAUGAAACGGCUCACGCACCACAACAUUCAUUGCCCCCCACAUCAGCUCACCCUCUAUAUAUUACCCUACAAUUGUGGGAAAAGUGGGUUUAUAAGCCCCUCUGUACUACCAUCGUCAUCCACCACCCACACCUAUUCAACCGGUCCUGCCCUGCUAGCUUCACACUCCAGCCACCCCUAAUUUCCCUUAUCCUCAGGUUUAUACUUUUGAAUUUCUCAGAUUUCACUCGAGAGCGAAAGGUGCUUGAAUUUUUGCUUCAUAGAUCUAUUGCUGCUCGGAUUGGAUUCACUCCUCCAUAGGUCUCCUACUUCUCACAUUGAUUACACCCUGGACUGGAAGUUGCUUGACGUUAUGGUUCAUAGACCCCUUGCUGCUUGGAUUGGGUUCGUUGUUUCAUAGGUCUCUUGUGGUUCGCAUCGAUAAAAAGGGAGUGUAAUGCUGGAUCAUCUGAUUCAUCAAGUGAACCAGUCAAUGAAAUAGGUAAUUAUCUAGAAUGUUGCUAUAUUUCACCAAUUGAGGUUGUUUGGCACUUGCCGAAAAGAAUGGAGAUUCAUUCAGUUUCUAGGUUCUCCAAAUGUUAUCUCACAAAGAAAAGCUUCUCAGUUCACAAUGCCCCAAUGUUGCCAUCUACAAAGGUUAGACAGUUUCUAUUAAUGCAAAGAGUAUCUUCUUUUUCCUAAUUUUCAACAAUAUAUUACCUACAAAAUAUGAACCUUAACCAUGAAGUACUUCGAGCCAUCUCCAAGCAAAGAAAAGAUGAUCCAUCCAUCUUCAAAAAGUAUCAAGAGUGCGACCAUCGACGGACCAAAGCGAUCAUCGACGAACCAAAGGACUCAAACAACAUUAUACCUCCCUCUUGCCAACCCGCUGCUAUUGUCAUCGAGAAAAAACAAAAUAUGUACUCUUUAGAUAAACUCUUCAGAGAAAUUGAGCAUUCAACUUAAAGAAGGCAAAACCACCAACAAACAUAUUAUUGUGCAAUCAGGCCAGGCAAGGGAAGCAUAACAUCAUUAAGAUGCAUGCAAGCAUCAGAAUAAAGUUGCAAGAAUGUUGUUUUUCAACAACAUGCAGGACAUCGUCAAGAUGCAUGCAAGAACCUACGAGCUGCACAUCCUUUCUACCAAAACUUAGUAUAUACGUUCCAGCUCCGGUGACGUGUACAAAAUGGUAGAAACAUAAGUAAAUGCCAUGUCAAAUUUUAGGGUGAAAUUCUAUCUGAAAUCUUGAUGGUUCAGUUAACUUUUUUAUCAUUUCAUCAUUGUUUAAUUUUUUGUCAAUGCACCAAUUAUCUUCUACAAGAUCUAGCAGCAACACGCGGGGUAUCAUAUAGUUAACCUAGAGCCCAGUGCCAGUUUCUGUUUUCUUUCCUUGUUUUAGAGUUUCGUAG